CAGAGAAUAGUUUAUUAAAAUAUUAAUUUUGGAGAUUAAAGAUGGAAAAUUUUUCUUUCUCUGA
rnacentral:tRNA from 1 species